GUGAUUACUAGAAAAACUGAAACUAUUGCUGUAGAGUCAACUGAACUUUUACCAAGUGAAAGAAAACCAGAGAUUCCAAAGGUUUCUCUUGAGCUUGCAAUCAAGGACCAGAUUCCAACUCAAACGGAACAUGACAGUGAAAGGCUGUCACUCUCAUCUACAGAGCAAGUUACUGCUGUUGCUUUGGAAGACGUGUCUCCCAUACAAACUGGAGGAAAGUCAGAUGAUGUGGAAUUUUCCAUAGCUCCUGAGUCAGUCCCUACCAUUGAAAGACAGCCUGAUGCAGAAAAUGAAUAUACUAAGGAAGAGCUUGACAAUGUGACAUCUACCACACCUUCAGAGGUGGUCACUGUGCAGACUCAACAUGCUAUGGUGGAACUGACAAAGAAAGAGGAAGAGACUGAUAGCCAGAGAUCUCCAGUAUCUCCAGAGGUUGCCACAGCAACAACAGAAAUUACUGCUAUGAAUAAAGGAAAGCUUUCACCACCCAAAAGAAAGUCAAAGAGUCGUAAAGCUUCCUCAGAACUUAUUAGUACGGAUUUGUCUGAGACUUUGAAAGAACCUGAAUCUGUGGGUUUCACCAAGGAAGCUAAAAUUACCACUUUGGAAAAACCUGAAUCACGCCAAACAAGGAAAUCUUCAAAGAGUCUUGUAGAGUCCAAGAAAAUAGAGAAAGAAACAGAAAUGGGAAACACAGCUUUAAAUGUACAGGUGAUUGCUGAAAAAACUGAAACUGUUGCUGUAGAGUCAACUGAACUUUCACCAAAUGAAAGAAAACCAGAGAUUCCAAAAGCUUCUCUUGAGCUUGCAAUCAAGGACCAGAUUCCAACUACAAAGGAACAUGACAGUGAAACACUGUCAGUCUCAUCCACAGAGCGCUCACCACCCAAAAGAAAGGUAAAGAGUCGUAAAGCUUCCUCAGAACUUAUUACUGCAGAUUUGCCUGAGACUUUGAAAGAACCUCAAUCUGUGGGUUCCAUCAAGGAAGUUAAGAUUACCACUUUGGAAAAACCUGAAGCUCCCCCAACACAGAAAACUUCAAAGAGUUUUGUGGAGUCUGAGGUCACAGAGAAAGAAACUGUAAGGGAAAAUAUAGCCUUACAUUUACAGGUGAUUACUAGAAAAACUGAAACCGUUGCUGUAGAGUCAAGUGAACUUUCACCAAGUGAAAGAAAAAAAGAGAUUCCAAAGGUUUCUCUUGAGCUUGCAAUCAAGGACCAGAUUCCAACUCAAACACAACACGACAAUGAGAUUCUGUCAGUCUCAUCUACACAGCAAGUUACUGCUGUUGCUUUGGAAGACGUGUCUCCCAUACAAACUGGAGCAAGGUCAGAUGAUGUGGAAUUUUCCAUAGCUCCCGAGUCAGUCCCUACCAUUGAAAGACAGCCUGAUGUAGAAAAUGAAUACACUAAGAAAGAGCUUGACAGUGUGAAAUCUACCACACCUUCAGAGGUGGUCACUGUGCAGACUCAACAUGCUAUGGUGGAACU
ensembl:lncRNA